AUUUUACUGGUUCAGGGCGAGAAGCGAUGGAGACAGAUUAAUUCUGGCUGAACUGCCUCGCUUUACACAAAACGGAAACUGAACCGUGAGUGGAGUAAUGACUACCUUAAGUCCACACAGAGAGUCGCCAAGUCACAAGUGAUCAGAACCCUUAGAAUCUCCCCCUCUAACUCAAUCUCCCCUCUCCAGCUACCUGUUGCCACGGUGAUAAGAACAGGCUCCUGCUGAGGCUCUGGCUGGAGUCGCAAGAGGAUGGAGAGGCUGAGGACCGAGCUGGACAUGCUGACGGUCAGCCAAGCCCCGUCUAGGGCCCGCGGGCAGCUCCGAUCCGGGGUCAGGCCGCUGGCCCAAUUCGCAGAGGCGGGGAGAGGGAUGUAGCGGCUUAUCUCGCAGUGUGGUGCGGGGGCGCCCCGCGGGUACCGCCUGAAGGCAGCCUGCAGGGUGCCCGUAGGGUCUGUGAGAGCGGAGAAGAAACGCAGCUGUAGAGUCCCUGCGCGGGGCUGGAAGGGUUGGGUUCAGUAAACUUCAAUUGAACAGUCUACCUCGUACGUAGCUAGGAGCUUAGAGGUAAUCCAGACUCAUUUAGAGGGAAAAACUCAGGCCCGAGGUCAGUGCGCCUUCUAAAGAGAACGGGGUUUCGGUAGAGUAGACAGAGGUGGGGGCGAGUCCCGGAAGACUCACCGUCCACUUUGAGGUAGAACUUAGGGUCGAGGUCUGGCCGGGGUGGCGGUCCCUCGGGUCCCUGGCGCAGAAGCAGUGCGGCGGGUCUCUUGGCCAGGCCGCCCCCGCCCACAUCCUCCACGAACCAACACUCGAUCGCCGAUGGUCCUGCGGAGACGGUGGUCGCCAGGCCUGGGGGAGAGGGCGGCCAGUGACCGGGCGGCUGAUGUCAGGACACGAGGAGCAGGGGAAAUCCCCGCUCUGGUUAGGUGAAGUCCAUGAAGGAGAGCGCAUCCCCCACUGGCCAAGCAGGGAUCCCGGUUACUUCCUCUCCAGGUCUCAGUGGAGGCCUCAACCCUGCCACGACCUCCUGGACCAACCAGCAGCGCCGGGCUUAAGCCCUUCCCAAACCUAAACUCCCCUCCAGUAUCUUCCCCACACCAUCCACGUCCCUGAGAACUAUUGCUCCCGCUUUCCACACCAUGUCAGGUCCCCAGCAAACACGUAGGGGUAUAGGGAAGCCAAGUGAAAUGACCAAUAAAUAUUUUAAUCACUGUUUAAAAAAUUAAAAGCUUGUACUACGA